UGCGUAGGCGGACUAAUAAGUCAGUGGUGAAAUCUCUCGGCUCAACCGGGAAACUGCCAUUGAUACUGUUAGUCUUGAGUUCGGUUGAGGUAGGCGGAAUGUGUAAUGUAGCGGUGAAAUGCUUAGAUAUUACACAGAACACCAAUUGCGUAGGCAGCUUACUAGACCGACACUGACGCUGAGGCACGAAAGCGUGGGUAGCGAACAGGAUUAGAUACCCUGGUUAGUCC
rnacentral:rRNA from 1 species